rnacentral:rRNA from 1 species
UACAGAGGGGGCAAGCGUUAUUCGGAAUUAUUGGGCGUAAAGCGCGCGCAGGUGGUUUCUUAAGUCUGAUGUGAAAGCCCACGGCUCAACCGUGGAGGGUCAUUGGAAACUGGGAGACUUGAGUGCAGAAGAGGAAAGUGGAAUUCCAUGUGUAGCGGUGAAAUGCGUAGAGAUAUGGAGGAACACCAGUGGCGAAGGCGACUUUCUGGUCUGUAACUGACACUGAGGCGCGAAAGCGUGGGGAGCAAACAGG